rnacentral:misc_RNA from 1 species
GUGGUCCUCGAGAUCCGGAUCUAGGUUUCCGGGGCAUAGCUCGGCGUUGAAGUCUUCUAGGUCGUUAGCGGUUGGAGCGGGUUCUGGAUCGAAUUCUUCGCCCUCGGUGGGGAGAUCGGCGUAAUCGAGAUCGAGAUCGAGGCCGAGGGAGAAAGAGGGGGCUUGGGGUUGGGGUUGAGUAUCGUCGUCGAAGCCGAGGGAGAAGGAGGGAGCUGAGAAUUCGU